rnacentral:rRNA from 1 species
UGCAGUCGAACGAGAACCACUGGGCAACUGGUGGGGAAAGUGGCGAAAGGGGCAGUAAUGUAUGGGUAACCUACCCUGGGGACCGGGAUAGCUAUCCUAACGGAUAGGUAAUACCGGGCGACGUAGCGAGGGGGCAUCUCCUUGUUACCAGAUGAAUUUCGCCCUGGGAGGGGCUCAUAUCGUAUUAGCUUGUUGGCGAGGUAACGGCUCACCAAGGCAAAGAUGCGUAGCGGGUGUGAGAGCACGACCCGCGCCACUGGCACUGAGACACUGGCCAGACUCCUACGGGAGGCUGCAGUCGAGGAUCUUCGGCAAUGGGCGCAAGCCUGACCGAGCGACGCCGCGUGCGCGAUGAAGGCCUUCGGGUUGUAAAGCGCUGUCGAGGGGGAGGAAGCCGCAAGGUUGACCUAUCCCUGGAGGAAGCACGGGCUAAGUUCGUGCCAGCAGCCGCGGUAAGACGAACCGUGCGAACGUUGUUCGGAAUCACUGGGCUUAAAGGGCGCGUAGGCGGUCCAUCAAGUCUGGGGUGAAACCUUUCGGCUUAACCGGAAAAGUGCCUGGGAUACUGAUGGACUGGAGGGAGAUAGGGGGAGCUGGAACUUCCAGUGGAGCGGUGAAAUGCGUUGAUAUUGGAAGGAACUCCGGUGGCGAAAGCGAGCUCCUGGAUCUCUUCUGACGCUGAGGCGCGAAAGCCAGGGGAGCAAACGGGAUUAGAUACCCCGGUAGUCCUGGCCCUAAACGAUGGGUACUAGGUUGUGGACUUAACAUGGGUUCACAGCCGAAGCAAAAGUGUUUAGUACCCCGCCUGGGGAGUAUGGUCGCAAGGCUGAAACUCAAAGGAAUUGACGGGGGCUCACACAAGCGGUGGACAUGUGGCUCAUUC